rnacentral:rRNA from 1 species
UACGGAGGAUGCAAGCGUUAUCCGGAUUUAUUGGGUUUAAAGGGUGCGCAGGCGGAAAAUUAAGUCAGUGGUGAAAUCCUGCAGCUCAACUGUAGAACUGUCAUUGAUACUGAUUUUCUUGAAUAUGGUUGAGGUUGGCGGAAUAUGUAAUGUAGCGGUGAAAUGCUUAGAUAUUACAUAGAACACCGAUUGCGAAGGCAGCUAACUAAGCCAUGAUUGACGCUGAGGCACGAAAGCGUGGGGAGCGAACAGG